rnacentral:rRNA from 1 species
UACGUAGGGGGCAAGCGUUAAUCGGAAUUACUGGGCGUAAAGCGUGCGCAGGCGGUGAUGUAAGACCGAUGUGAAAUCCCCGGGCUUAACCUGGGAACUGCAUUGGUGACUGCAUCGCUCGAGUAUGGCAGAGGGGGGUAGAAUUCCACGUGUAGCAGUGAAAUGCGUAGAUAUGUGGAGGAACACCGAUGGCGAAGGCAGCCCCCUGGGUCAAGACUGACGCUCAUGCACGAAAGCGUGGGGAGCAAACAGG